rnacentral:misc_RNA from 1 species
UUAAAAAUGGACUAAAUUGAAUUUCUCUCCAAUAAGUAUUGGGCCAAAUUAAGUUUUAAGCUGCAUAUACUGCAGUAUCAUCCACUCAUCCGAUUUUUUCUAAAAUAAAAAGUAGUCAUUGGUUUUGUUCAUGUGCAGAUUUACUGUACCACAAGCUACAUCAUCUCGCAUUUCCAUUAACAAAAGGGUCCAAGAUUACUUAAGAUGGAUGGCAAGGAUGGGACUUCACAUAAAUUGAGACAAAAAGAAAAACACAAGCAAUUUGCUCCAUUUGGUUUCUUGGAGAAAGUAGGAAUACAAAAAAAUAAACUUGUUCUCCUAUCAAAAUAUGUAGUACGGAAAUGGAAAUGCAGACAGAGAAACGCAAAAAUGGAAAAAAAAACAUUUUCAA